UCUGACGACCAUAGCAAGGUGGCACCACGCCUUCCCAUCCCGAACAGGACCGUGAAACGCCUUCGCGCCAAUGAUAGUGAGCACUGCGCUUGCGAAAGUAGGUCAUCGUCAGAC
rnacentral:rRNA from 1 species